rnacentral:rRNA from 1 species
GACGAACGCUGGCGGCAUGCCUAAUACAUGCAAGUCGAACGCGGCCAUCCGGUGCUUGCACUGGUGAAGCCGAGUGGCGAACGGGUGAGUAACACGUGAGAAACCUGCCCUGGAGUGGGGAAUAACUCGAAGAAAUUCGAGCUAAUACCGCAUACCUUCUCUUCACCGCAUGGUGAGUUGAAGAAAGAUUUAUCGCUCUAGGAGGGUCUCGCGGCCUAUCAGCUAGUUGGUGAGGUAAUGGCUCACCAAGGCAUCGACGGGUAGCUGGUCUGAGAGGACGAUCAGCCACACUGGGACUGAGACACGGCCCAGACUCCUACGGGAGGCAGCAGUAGGGAAUCUUGCGCAAUGGGCGAAAGCCUGACGCAGCAAUGCCGCGUGCGGGACGAAGGCCCUAGGGUCGUAAACCGCUUUCAGUAGGGACGAAAAAUGACGGUACCUGCAGAAGAAGCUCCGGCCAACUACGUGCCAGCAGCCGCGGU